rnacentral:lncRNA from 1 species
ACUGGGAGCACUGGUGCCAUACUGGUGUCCGUACUGGUGUCACUGGUGUCACUGGGGUCCAUACUGGGAGCACUGGGAAGGGACUGGGAUCCAUACUGGUGUCACUGGGAUCCUUACUGGUGUUACUGGGAAGGGACUGGGAGCCUUACUGGGAGCACUGGGAGCCCUUCCCCCCCAAACUGGGGGCACUGGUGUCCUUACUGGUGUCACUGGAACCCAUACUGGGAGCACUGGGAGCACUGGGAUCCCCCUCACCCCAUACUGGGAGCACUGGGAGCCCUUACUGGUGUCACUGGUGUAAACUGGUAUUACUGGGAAGGGACUGGGAGCCAAACCGGGAGCACUGGGAGCACUGGUAGGGCACUGGGAUCCAUACUGGUGUUACUGGGAGCCCUUACUGGGAGCACUGGGAGCUGAACUGGGGGUACUGGGAUCGUUACUGGUGUCACUGGGAGCCUUACUGGGAGCACUGGGAGCACUGGGAUCGCCCUCACCCCAUACUGGGAGCACUGGGAGCCCUUACUGGUGUCACUGGGAGCACUGGGAACACUGGGAUUCCCCUUACUCCAUACUGGGAGCACUGGGAGCUCAAACUGGGAGCACUGGGAGCUGAACUGGGAGCACUGGGAGCCCCCUCACCCCAUACUGGGAGCACUGGGAGGAGUGGGAUCCCAUACUGGUGUCACUGGGAGGGCACUGGGAGCCAAACUGGGAGCACUGGGAGCCAAACUGGUGUCACUGGUGUCACUGGGAGCCUUACUGGGAGCACUGGGAGCCGUACUGGGAGCACUGGUUUCCCUGUUACCCCAAACUGGGAGCACUGGGAGCCCUUACUGGUCUUACUGGGAAGGGACUGGGAGCCGGACUGGGAGCACUGGGAGCCCAAACUGGGAGCACUGGUUUCCCUUUUCCCCCAAACUGGGAGCCUUACUGGUCUUACUGGGAAGGGACUGGGAGCCAGACUGGGAGCACUGGGAGCUGUAGGAGCCAGACUGGGAGCACUGGAAGCCCUUACUGGUUUUACUGGUGUCACUGGGAGCCAAACUGGGAGCACUGGUUUCCCUUUUCCCCCAAACUGGGAGCACUGGGAGCCCUUACUGGUGUCACUGGUGUUACUGGGAAGGGACUGGGAUCCUUACUGGGAGCACUCGGACCCUUACUGGUCUUACUGGUGUCACUGGGACCCCUUACUGGUUUUACUGGUGUCCUUACUGGUGUCACUGGUUUCCCUUUUCCCCCAAACUGGGAGGGCGCUGGGGUCCAUACUGGUGUUACUGGUGCCC